UACAGAGACUGCAAGCGUUAUUCGGAUUCACUGGGCGUAAAGGGUGCGUAGGUGGCCAGGUAAGUUCGGUGUGAAAGCUCGGAGCUUAACUCCGAAAUGUCAUUGAAUACUAUCUGGCUAGAGGGUCGGAGGGGAGACUGGAAUUCUCGGUGUAGCAGUGAAAUGCGUAGAUAUCGAGAGGAACACCAGUGGCGAAGGCGAGUCUCUGGACGACACCUGACACUGAGGCACGAAAGCUAGGGGAGCAAACAGG
rnacentral:rRNA from 1 species